AUUGAAGAGUUUGAUCAUGGCUCAGAUUGAACGCUGGCGGCAGGCCUAACACAUGCAAGUCGAACGGUAACAGGAAGCAGCUUGCUGUUUUGCUGACGAGUGGCGGACGGGUGAGUAAUGUCUGGGAAACUGCCUGAUGGAGGGGGAUAACUACUGGAAACGGUAGCUAAUACCGCAUAACGUCGCAAGACCAAAGAGGGGGACCUUAGGGCCUCUUGCCAUCGGAUGUGCCCAGAUGGGAUUAGCUAGUAGGUGGGGUAACGGCUCACCUAGGCGACGAUCCCUAGCUGGUCUGAGAGGAUGACCAGCCACACUGGAACUGAGACACGGUCCAGACUCCUACGGGAGGCAGCAGUGGGGAAUAUUGCACAAUGGGCGCAAGCCUGAUGCAGCCAUGCCGCGUGUAUGAAGAAGGCCUUCGGGUUGUAAAGUACUUUCAGCGGGGAGGAAGGGAGUAAAGUUAAUACCUUUGCUCAUUGACGUUACCCGCAGAAGAAGCACCGGCUAACUCCGUGCCAGCAGCCGCGGUAAUACGGAGGGUGCAAGCGUUAAUCGGAAUUACUGGGCGUAAAGCGCACGCAGGCGGUUUGUUAAGUCAGAUGUGAAAUCCCCGGGCUCAACCUGGGAACUGCAUCUGAUACUGGCAAGCUUGAGUCUCGUAGAGGGGGGUAGAAUUCCAGGUGUAGCGGUGAAAUGCGUAGAGAUCUGGAGGAAUACCGGUGGCGAAGGCGGCCCCCUGGACGAAGACUGACGCUCAGGUGCGAAAGCGUGGGGAGCAAACAGGAUUAGAUACCCUGGUAGUCCACGCCGUAAACGAUGUCGACUUGGAGGUUGUGCCCUUGAGGCGUGGCUUCCGGAGCUAACGCGUUAAGUCGACCGCCUGGGGAGUACGGCCGCAAGGUUAAAACUCAAAUGAAUUGACGGGGGCCCGCACAAGCGGUGGAGCAUGUGGUUUAAUUCGAUGCAACGCGAAGAACCUUACCUGGUCUUGACAUCCACGGAAGUUUUCAGAGAUGAGAAUGUGCCUUCGGGAACCGUGAGACAGGUGCUGCAUGGCUGUCGUCAGCUCGUGUUGUGAAAUGUUGGGUUAAGUCCCGCAACGAGCGCAACCCUUAUCCUUUGUUGCCAGCGGUCCGGCCGGGAACUCAAAGGAGACUGCCAGUGAUAAACUGGAGGAAGGUGGGGAUGACGUCAAGUCAUCAUGGCCCUUACGACCAGGGCUACACACGUGCUACAAUGGCGCAUACAAAGAGAAGCGACCUCGCGAGAGCAAGCGGACCUCAUAAAGUGCGUCGUAGUCCGGAUUGGAGUCUGCAACUCGACUCCAUGAAGUCGGAAUCGCUAGUAAUCGUGGAUCAGAAUGCCACGGUGAAUACGUUCCCGGGCCUUGUACACACCGCCCGUCACACCAUGGGAGUGGGUUGCAAAAGAAGUAGGUAGCUUAACCUUCGGGAGGGCGCUUACCACUUUGUGAUUCAUGACUGGGGUGAAGUCGUAACAAGGUAACCGUAGGGGAACCUGCGGUUGGAUCACCUCCU
rnacentral:rRNA from 1 species